rnacentral:misc_RNA from 1 species
UUGAAUACUCGAUGGGUUGUAGCUGGCCUCUUGGGGCAUGUGCACGCCUGUCUUGACUCUAUUCAUCCACCUGUGCACCUAUUGUAGUCUCUUACUCUUUGAUGGUCAAGGAAAUUGGGCUUUUAUUCAGUUGAAAUACACUGGACUUGAGGACUGCCAACUGGCUUUCCACUCCCUAGCCUUAUGAAAUCGUCUAUUGUCGAGAAAGGAGGCUAUGUCUUUUAUCAUAAACGAAGUAUGUUAUCAGAAUGUAGUCAAAUGGGCCUUGUGCCUAAUAAAACCUUAUA